rnacentral:piRNA from 1 species
ACCCCCAUCAGGGUGCGGGGUGCAGUUGCGG